GUAUCACUGUGGUACACGUUUGGUGGAGGAACCACACUGAAUGUUAACUUGGAAAAUGCUCGUCCCACCCUGACAGUGCUGCCCCCCUCCAGUGAGGAGCUGCAGCAGGGGAAGGCCACCCUCAUGUGUCUGGCCAACAAGGGCUUCCCCUCAGACUGGAGUCUGUCCUGGAAGGUGGAGGGCAGCAUUAGCAGCUUCAGCUGGGAGGAGAACAAGAGCCGAGGAGUGCUGCAGAAGGACGGCCUCUACAGCUGGAGCAGCACCCUGAGGCUCCCUGCAGACCAGUGGAGGAAGGUGGGCUCUGUGACCUGUGAGGCCACCCAGGGCUCCCAGUCUGCAGUCACAGAGACACUGAGGAGAGACCAGUGUUCCCAGUAACAACCUGACUUGUU